rnacentral:rRNA from 1 species
UACGUAGGGUGCGAGCGUUAAUCGGAAUUACUGGGCGUAAAGCGUGCGCAGGCGGUUUGUUAAGUCUGAUGUGAAAGCCCCGGGCUCAACCUGGGAACUGCAUUGGAAACUGGCAAGCUCGAGUAUGGCAGAGGGGGGUGGAAUUCCGCGUGUAGCAGUGAAAUGCGUAGAGAUGCGGAGGAACACCGAUGGCGAAGGCAGCCCUCUGGGCCAAUACUGACGCUCAGGCACGAAAGCGUGGGGAGCAAACAGG